rnacentral:rRNA from 1 species
UACGUAGGGGGCAAGCGUUGUCCGGAAUUAUUGGGCGUAAAGAGCUUGUAGGCGGUUUGUCGCGUCUGCUGUGAAAUUUCGGGGCUCAACCCCGAACUUGCAGUGGGUACGGGCAGGCUAGAGUGUGGUAGGGGAGACUGGAAUCCUGGUGUAGCGGUGAAAUGCGCAGAUAUCAGGAGGAACACCAAUGGCGAAGGCAGCUCGCUGGGACGGUACUGACGCUGAGACGGCGAAAGCGUGGGGAGCAAACAGG